rnacentral:rRNA from 1 species
GAUGAACGCUGGCGGCGUGCCUAAUACAUGCAAGUCGAGCGAACAGACGAGGAGCUUGCUCCGCAGACGUUAGCGGCGGACGGGUGAGUAACACGUGGAUAACCUACUUAUAAGACUGGGAUAACUGCGGGAAACCGGAGCUAAUACCGGAUAACAUAUUGAACCGCAUGGUUCAAUAGUGAAAGACGGUUUUGCUGUUACUCAUAGAUGGAUCCGCGCCGCAUUAGCUAGUUGGUAAGGUAACGGCCUAGCAAGGCGACGAUGCGUAGCCGACCUGAGAGGGUGGUCGCCCACCCUGGAACUGGGUCACCGUCCAUGCUCCUGCGGUAGGCAGCAGUAGGGAAUCUUCCGCAACAGUCGGGAGCCUGACGCAACAACGCCACGUCAGUUGUAGCGGUCUUCGGAUCGUAAAGCUCUGUUAUUAGUGAAAAACAACUGUGUAAGUAACUAUGCCCGUCUUGACGGUACCUGAUCAGAAAGCCCCGGCUAACUACGUG